UAUUUUUCAAAAAAAAAAAAAACGAGAAUCUGAUUCAAUUUAAUUGUAAUGAACAAUCGUGAAAAAAGGUGAAAAUAGACCGAAUUCAAUUCUUUUAACAUCGAUUCCUUCUUGACCAAAAUCUGGGUAGUCAAGCAAAUUGAGUUGAGCAAAUGUCUGAUAAGCAUCAAGUGCAUGCAAAUCGCAGAUAGAACGUGACAAGCGAAUGGAACGUUGCAAAAAAUACAAAUAAAGUUCAGGAUACUGUUGACAACGGAACGUAAAUUUAUGGAUCACAUGAUAUGGUACAUUGGUUGACAGUUGCAUCAUCUCUCAUCAAAAACCAUAUGUAUCGGCAUGUAGUUCCAGUAACAGUUUUUCGGGCAUUUCUAGUGACUUCAGAGAAGAUAACGAGUUAUAAAAAGGAUGGGAUACCAAUGAAGAUGCAAAUAUCAUGGAUAUAAAUGGACUUUGAGAGAAUUGACGUCUGGUUUACUUUUUCGAUG